GGGCACGACACCGGAGAGGGAGCCUGAGAAACGGCUACCANANNCAANNAUGGCAGCAGGCGCGCAAAUUACCCAAUCCCGACACGGGGAGGUAGUGACAAUAAAUAACAAUACGGGGUUCUUUAGGAUCUCGUAAUUGGAAUGAGUACAAUUUAAAUCUCUUAACGAGGAACAAUUGGAGGGCAAGUCUGGUGCCAGCAGCCGCGGUAAUUCCAGCUCCAAUAGCGUAUAUUAAAGUUGUUGCAGUUAAAAAGCUCGUANUUGAAUUUCGGGGUUAGUAGGUUGGUCAUGCCUCUGGUAUGUACUGGUCUCACUGAUUCCUCCUUCCUUAUGAACCGUAAUGCCAUUAAUUUGGUGUUGCGGGGAAUUUGGACUGUUACUUUGAAAAAAUUAGAGUGUUUAAAGCAAGCUAACGCUUGAAUACAUUAGCAUGGAAUAAUGAAAUAGGACGUUNGAUCUUAUUUUGUUGGUUUCUAGGAUUGACGUAAUGAUUAAUAGGGAUAGUUGGGGGCAUUAGUAUUCA
rnacentral:rRNA from 1 species